AAAGAAAGAAAGAAAGAAAGAAAGAAAGAAAGAAAGAAAGAAAGAAAGAAAGAAAGAAAGAAAGGAAAGAAACUACUUGCCACGAGAACAAUUUUCAAUGCUGACUUUACAUGUAAAAACACUUCAAAAGAAGAUAUUCAGAAACCUCCAAAACUAGAAUUACAAUAUCCAGGUUUCUCAGAUAUAAAAAGAUUGAUUACACACAAAAAAAGAAUAUUUUAUGGUGGCAUUCGAACACAUGAAAAAUAACCCAAAUACCUAUCAUUCUAGAACCAUUGCUCAUACCACACUUUAUGACUAAAGAAAAACUACCCUCCGCAUAGGCUCUGGUCUCAUCGCAUACUCAGUCUCAAUGGGAUUUCCUUAAGAGUCAAAACCCCGACAAUUGCAUGAAGCCGGAAGCUCAGCAAUCUUCUGAGGGCAUCUAUCUUGUUUUCUAAGAAGCAUUUUGGAGGUUUUUCUUUACCUGGAGAAAGCACUGGCUAGAGCUAUCUGAAAGCAACAGUGUGUUCAGCAAGCUGGAACUAAACUGUUACUGAAUGGAGAGUUCCCAUCCUGCCUCAGUGGAAUCAAAGAAAAGAGAAAGGCUCCAAAAUGAACACAAUGCGUGUUAUUUGCUACCAUAAACUGUGCAACUGGUUUCUACUGCUGUGUUGCAAUUGAAUAGUAAUCAGGAGAAGUUACACGUUGUUCUUAGAAAUAAUACAACGAAUCCUGUCAAUCUUAAGUCCUGACACUGAAUUUAACGCUCUCUGUUUAGUCCUACCAUCAAGGAUGAUUUGCAGGUGAAGAAUUCUUGAUAGUCAGAUGCAGACUACGUCUUCAGAUCCUAUGGCCUAAGGUUAUUAAGGUGGGAGAAGCAAAACAAAUGCGGUUCUCAUCCAGUAAUAAUGGAUUUACAAGAAUUUGAAACAAAACUUUCCUUCCAGCUACUGCUUUCAUGUCAGAGAAAUAAAAUACAUGUACAAGAUUUAAAGCUUUAUGUGUCUAACCCUUUCUGACCCCUUUUACAUUCAGUUAUUAAUAAUAAUAACUAUGAUAAUAUUGCUUAUGCCCAGGGCUGAAAUGAGGGUUAAUUAGUUAAUAUUUAUAAAGCUUUCUGAAAAUGAAAAGUACUGUUUAAGCCCUAAGUGUAUUCUUUUCUUCUUUCACUCUCUUCUUUCAUUUCCUUCUUUUAUCACAGAUCAAUUGAUUCUUCCUCCCAUCUGGCUAAUUUUUUUCACUGGUUAUAUUUCCUGCUCGUUUUGGAUUAUUGCCCUUGACUCCACAUUGACCUCAAUCACUCUUACCCUUCAACAUUGUGUUUGCUCUUUUUGCCUCCCACGCUUUAGUCACUUCUUUCUCACUUUCAUUUCUUCUUUCUAGUCUUCCUUUAUCCACUCCUAACACUAAUCUCGUAGCUGUAGACUUAUCUUUUUCAUUGUCCUCAUUUUUUAAGCAUAG
rnacentral:lncRNA from 1 species